AAUUUUGAUGAAUUAAAAGUACAGAUUCUAAUCUUUGUUGGAAUCUGACACUUCACCAAAAAACUGAAUUAUUUAUCAAAUACUUGAUUUGCAUAUAUAUUAGCAAGUCGUGGUGGCCGCCUUGUGUCGGCUUAAGAAUGCUCGAGGAACGUCAAGCUCAUUUUAGAUAUGUACAGGAAGAAGUGUAUAAGAAGAAGAGGAGGAGGAGAAAGAAGAAGAAGAAGCAAGUAAAAGAGAAAGGAUAAAUAGAAACCAGUGCUUUUGCAAUUGCUCAAGAAUUCCUUAAACGAGUAUUUCAUCAAUCAGAUUUCUUUUUCUACGUCUCCAGCGGCUACCAAGCGAUAUUAAACUUGCGUUGCCAUCCGACCACGAGAAACUCGAAUCCAGACGCUCAAGGGGAAAUGCACGAGCUACGACCAGAGAAGACCACUGAGCAAGGAGUCAACUCCUGUGGGGGCAACAGGAUCAUCAGAGUAAGGGAUAGAGAAUGCCUGGGAAUUAAACGCUUUUUGUUAUCCGACAAGAAGUUCUGAUGUAUACUUAAUUACCGUGGUGUAUAAGGAUACGCCAACGACCUUACUAUGAGUUUCAUGGAGGGAGUUAAUGGGCCGAAUCACGGAGUUGUGUUGUAAUGCAGUGCGUGCCGUAUAAUUUAGGAAACUUGCUCCUUAUGGUAAUUGUGUAUCCUAAUUAUACGUCGCCAGAAUCUGUGAAUUAUUUCGAUGAAAAACAGAAACUUUAGAUCUAUAUAUAUAAAUGUAUAUAUAGUACGCUAUUAAACAAGUCAACAUGACAUGAUGAUGAUGAUGAUGAUCAAAUGAAUCUUUAAUAGAACUGGCAAAGCACAUGAAGCUUCAUACAUGAUGCCUUUCAUCUCAUUCUACGUUCAUUCACUGAGAUAAUACCAAAUUCCUCGGGCGUUGCCGAUGCUGAGGAUCGCGACGACGGCAUUAAUUCCCGCGUAGUAACGAGCACAUGUCUAAAGCAAAGGAUGAGGUUAGUAGAACGGGUGCACACGUCUAUUCGCAGGACAGAUAGGAGGUUGAUGCCUUUGCAAGCCUGCCAUUAAUUACUCCAACGCACCACUCCAUCUAUGCGAAAAUGCAUCUGCGAUACUAAGCCCCCUGCAUACUCUUCUUGUCAUUCUCUUCUAAUAUCUUCUAAACCUUUGACGACAGAAAAUCGUGCUCACAAUGAAGCUAUCAAAAGCCUUGGAACUUUAAUCACUGUUACUAUUUCUAUAACAAAAUUACUCUUACCUUUUGAAAAUAAUUAUGUCUAGUUUAUCUCCCCUGGUAGACAUUAUUAUUAUUACCUUUAUUAUU